rnacentral:rRNA from 1 species
GACGAACGCUGGCGGCGUGCUUAACACAUGCAAGUCGAACGGAAAGGCCCUGCUUUUGUGGGGUGCUCGAGUGGCGAACGGGUGAGUAACACGUGAGUAACCUGCCCUUGACUUUGGGAUAACUUCAGGAAACUGGGGCUAAUACCGGAUAGGAGCUCCUGCUGCAUGGUGGGGGUUGGAAAGUUUCGGCGGUUGGGGAUGGACUCGCGGCUGAUCAGCUUGUUGGUGGGGUAGUGGCUUACCAAGGCUUUGACGGGUAGCCGGCCUGGGAGGGUGACCGGCCACAUUGGGCCUGCGAUACGGCCCAGACUCCUACGGGAGGCAGCAGUGGGGAAUAUUGCACAAUGGGCGGAAGCCUGAUGCAGCAACGCCGCGUGCGGGAUGACGGCCUUCGGGUUGUAAACCGCUUUCGCCUGUGACGAAGCGUGAGUGACGGUAAUGGGUAAAGAAGCACCGGCUAACUACGUG